GGAUGCCCCAUUAUUGUUAAUGGAUGUGCUUUGGGCUGAUAGUUUUGUGGUCUUGCAUAUUCGUAGGUCAAAUACUGAUCAGAAUGGUAGAGGUAUUUGGCUCCGAUUGCGUAAUACUGGGGGUGAAUUUUGCCUGGUUCGGGUGUUUCAUCGUUAUUACAUCGCAGAUGGGUCCCCGCUUACAUGGUUUCAGUUUGCGUCGGUGCUAGUGAAAGCGUUGGUGUCGAGAUCCUAC